rnacentral:ncRNA from 1 species
UAGUGAAUUGUUGAUCCUGAAUUUUGGAUUAAAAGAUUAAAUUACCUUAGGGAUAACAGCGUAAUUUUUUUUGAAAGUUCACAUUUACAGAAAAGUUUGCGACCUCGAUGUUGGAUUAAAAUUAAUUUUCGGUGUAGAAGCUGGAAUAUUGGGUCUGUUCGACCUUUAAAAUUUUACUCGAUCUGAGUUUAAACCGGCGUGAGCCAGGUUGGUUUCUAUCUUUUAUUUAUGUUA